rnacentral:rRNA from 1 species
UACGUAGGGGGCAAGCGUUGUCCGGAAUCAUUGGGCGUAAAGCGCGUGUAGGCGGCUGGCUAAGUCCGCUCUGAAAGCCCGGGGCUCAACCCCGGGAGGCGGGUGGAUACUGGUCAGCUCGAGUCCGGAAGAGGAGUGUGGAAUUCCUGGUGUAGCGGUGAAAUGCGCAGAUAUCAGGAGGAACACCAAUGGCGAAGGCAGCACUCUGGGGACGGUACUGACGCUGAGAGCGAAAAGCGUGGGGGAGCAAACAGG